GCCGUCGUAGCUCAGAUGGUAGAGCGACGCUCUCGUAAAGCGUAGGUCACGGGUUCGAUUCCCGUCGACGGCUCCA
rnacentral:tRNA from 6 species